rnacentral:tRNA from 1 species
UGGUAACUCAGUUGGUACAGCAUGAGACUCUUAAUCUCCGGGUUGUGAGUUCAAGCCCCACUUGGGCAC